CUACGGAUUCCCUCAGUAGCAGAGAAAUAUUCCCCCCCCCAACAUUUCCUUUUGAAAUGGUAUUUUUCAGUGACCUUUGACCUAUCCCCAACCCCGGUUAAGAGAGAGCAUGGAAGGGAAAGGUCACUCCUGCCCCAAUUUCAGCACCUGGGGACGUUCAUCUUCGAGAAGGGAAAAGGAAAGGCGGCCCUUCUGGAGGCGGCUUCUUUGGGAGCUCCAGGCUUCCAGCGCUGGGGAGAGGAGGGGCUCCUGUCGGGAAGGAGGUGGAACGUGAGAGGGUCCGUGCUGGCAUUGCGGAAGAUCUGCCUUCCGAACCAAAGGACGUGCUUUCCCCUGGCCUCACUCCUUUGUUGGCUUCUUCAGCCCGGGUUUGCGCAACCCCCUUGGCCGCAGGGCUCACGCCACAAAGCGCCCCGGGCCGCAAUCGCUCCCCUUCCUCUGCUAGUUCUCGGCCUCUGCGCUCCACUCCUUCCACUUCUCUUCCUCCCUCCGGGCCUCAUUCCAGAGCCAGCACGGGGGGGGUGUUUUUCUUGGGACCACAUGCAUGCGCUUGCACACGAGCCCGCGAGCGCUCGGGGCCGCGACCGACCCACCUCCGCGCACUGCUCCCGGCUCCCGGCUCCCGGCUCCCGGCCCGCCGGGCUCUCGCAGCCCAGCCGGCUCCGCCCCGGCUGGCCGCCCGGAGCGCUGCUCUCCGGUGUGGCUUACAAAGGCAGGCUCCUCUGGCCUCGGGCCCGUAAGGCUUCCGUAGCUCGGUUCUUUCCCCACCCCCACGAAAUCCUGGGGCUCACUCCGCCUUGCAGAAGACCCUGGGCCUCGGGGCGUGUAGGCCAGCGCCCCACGACUCGAGCUGAAGUCCCUUUAAAUGCCCCGGGAGAGUGGGCGAGAGGAGAGCUCGAUCGCUAUUUAAACGAGGACCUGCGAGCGGCUUGCUGGGCUCAAAGCGCCUCUUCCAGGGCUCUGCUCUUAGCAAGGGAAGGAGCAAGGAGGAGACAAAACGCUGCCGAGGCCCGGAGCUGUUCAUGGCAUCCGCGGCUCAGCCAAGCUGUUGUUUUAAAAGAGCAAUAA
rnacentral:lncRNA from 1 species